rnacentral:rRNA from 1 species
GGUGGCGAUAUCGAAGAGGCCAUACCCGAUCCCAUCCCGAACUCGGAAGUCAAGCUCUUCGGAGCCGAUGGUACUGCAUGGGCGACUGUGUGGGAGAGUAGGACGCUGCCG